rnacentral:snRNA from 1 species
GUGCUGGCUUUGGCAUCUAAAUGGGAACUAUUCAGAGAAGACUGGCGUGGGCUACGUCAGGAUAAUGCGCAAAUUCAUGAAGUGUUUAAAAAACAA